rnacentral:rRNA from 1 species
GACGAACGCUGGCGGCGUGCUUAACACAUGCAAGUCGAACGGAAAGGCCCUGCUUUUGUGGGGUGCUCGAGUGGCGAACGGGUGAGUAACACGUGAGUAACCUGCCCUUGACUUUGGGAUAACUUCAGGAAACUGGGGCUAAUACCGGAUAGGAGCUCCUGCUGCAUGGUGGGGGUUGGAAAGUUUCGGCGGUUGGGGAUGGACUCGCGGCUUAUCAGCUUGUUGGUGGGGUAGUGGCUUACCAAGGCUUUGACGGGUAGCCGGCCUGAGAGGGUGACCGGCCACAUUGGGACUGAGAUACGGCCCAGACUCCUACGGGAGGCAACAGUGGGGAAUAUUGCACAAUGGGCGGGAGCCUGAUGCAGCAACGCCGCGUGCGGGAUGACGGCCGUCGGGUUGUAAACCGCUUUCGCCUGUGACGAAGCGUGAGUGACGGUAAUGGGUAAAGAAGCACCGGCUAACUACGUG